rnacentral:rRNA from 1 species
AACGAACGCUGGCGGCAUGCCUAACACAUGCAAGUCGAACGAGACCUUCGGGUCUAGUGGCGCACGGGUGCGUAACGCGUGGGAACCUGCCCUUAGGUUCGGAAUAACUCCCCGAAAGGGGUGCUAAUACCGGAUAAUGUCUUCGGACCAAAGAUUUAUCGCGUUUGGAUGGGCCCGCGUUGGAUUAGCUAGUUGGUAGGGUAAAAGCCUACCAAGGCGACGAUCCAUAGCUGGUCUGAGAGGAUGAUCAGCCACACUGGGACUGAGACACGGCCCAGACUCCUACGGGAGGCAGCAGUGGGGAAUAUUGGACAAUGGGGGAAAGCAUGAUCCAGCAAUGCCGCGUAAGUGAUGAAGGCCUUAGGGUUGUAAAGCUCUUUUACCCGGGAUGAUAAUGACAGUACCGGGAGAAUAAGCACCGGCUAACUACGUG